rnacentral:rRNA from 1 species
UACGUAGGGGGCGAGCGUUAUCCGGAUUCACUGGGUGUAAGGGGAGCGUAGACGGCCAUGCAAGCCAGGGGUGAAAGCCCGGGGCCCAACCCCGGGACUGCCCUUGGAACUGCAUGGCUGGAGUGCGGGAGGGGCGGCGGAAUUCCUGGUGUAGCGGUGAAAUGCGUAGAUAUCAGGAGGAACACCGGCGGCGAAGGCGGCCUGCUGGACCGCGACUGACGUUGAGGCUCGAAAGCGUGGGGAGCGAACAGG